rnacentral:sRNA from 1 species
AAGUAUUAAAUACUUUGCAUUAUGUGGUUUGGUGUAACUUUAUGAGCAUGGUGAAAGACUGGCCUGUAAUUCUGUGUGAAGGUUCAGCGUAACUUGUCAUUUCAAUGGGGCCUUCUUUUUCGUGUCAAUGUCGAAAUGGACGAGCGAAGUUGUCAGUCUGUUUAGGAAUAACAUAUAGACUCCGACUUUCCAGAUAACGGCGGUUUGACAAACUCGCUGCCUUCAUGACCGAUUGUUUUUCAUCGCCGCCGAUGAGUGUGAAAAUACAAAAUGGAGCGGACAAGCGCUGUCGCCCCAUCGUUCUUAAAUGGCAGGCUCAGUAACAAAUAUCUGCAAUAAACCUCUAUAUAAAUGUUCCAAGAUUUUGAAUGAAGGCAUAUGAGAAUAUCGUGCACUUUGUGGAUGUUUCUUUGUGAUUCGUGUCCGGAUAUUUUGUUUUCGCCUAGUAACGAUUUCUUAAUUUUGUUUUUCUAUGGGAAUAGUAUUUAUAUUCGCGUAUUUAACAGGUAAGGAAGAGGGUAUGGUUUCAUUUAUUUUUCAUAAAAUUGCAUACAGCAGAUGUGUCUGUGGAAUAAUUGCAAAUUGAGUUCCUUCGACGAUUUGCUUUAAGCUAAUCGGCGCCCUCCGUCAUCAUAGACUCUUUCAAAUGGGCGCGAAGGUGCCCGGAAAAACGGCGCUGGUCUUUCUUUUUUGUUUUUAACACCAGUGGUGCUAAGAGCCUUUUUGAUCAUCUAUUUCUUAUUAAACGAAAUUCUAUCCGUCUUAACGAAAUUUUAAUGAAGUUGUAUUACAGAAGAAGAAGUAAUAACGUGAAAUAAAUGGCGCACCUGACACGUACGAGACUGGUUCCUUAGGUUCAAUAUAAAUAUCGCUUACACCGGAACGAAGCAUCGCGUAAAUCAGCAAACGGCCCGUAAAACAAAACGUCUUCGUGGACAAAACAAUAGCCGUGCGACGAUCCAGCGGGACUCUAAUGAACGGGAAUCACCUGCGAAACUAAUUGUAAAUCCAUUGAAUUGUUUGAUAAGUUUGUCGCAUUAUAGAGUAUCGAAUGUUGUGGAAACCUUUGAAUUAUAAUCUUUUUUUUCAAUAGGAAAAAAAAAUUCUUUUGCAGCUGGAUGAACGUAUCUAUGAUUAGAAUUUUACUUAUAUAGUUUUCUUACAUGUUUUGAAAAAAAAUAUUUCACAUAUUCGAUAGUCAAGGGUUUAACUUCCGGUCUUUUAAAUUUGAUGCCACUAUCUGCCGUUAAUCCUGUGUUUGUUUUUGUUUUCAGUCAUUCCGUGAAAGAAUUUCUAUUUCCCUGAAAAUAGUUGAAAGAUGUAAAUUGCAAUUGAUAAUCAUCUAAGUAGUAUUGUUAUGUUUAACAACAUCAUAUAUUUAGAUUAUUAUUUUUAAAACCCAGUCUAUAUAUUCUGAAAUAAUGGUAAUCUAAAAUUGUUUUACUUUCUAUUCCACCUAGCUAGUAUAAGCGUCCCUUGUGUCAUACUAGUAUAUACCAUCUCUUUAAUAAAUCUACUGCAUGAAUUAUGUGAUCUGUAUUUUUGUUUUGUCAUUAUUUUGUUCAUUUUGUUUUUAAAUAUUUUUUAAAUAUAUUAAUAUAGGUGCUUAAGAUAUUUUAUAUACUUAUUGAAAUUGAAGUAUAUUUGAAAACAUUUUGAACGAUUUAAUGCUUCUUACACUUGUUUUCGAUUGUUUUGUGUUUUUUUAACAUAAAAAAUAUACACAGAUCUUCUUACAUAGAUUUUAAAAAUAAAUACUAUUUAUAUAGAAGCUGUUGUAUUUAUUAUUUUUUUUUUGUUGCUGGGGUUAUAUUAAAAACCAUUUGUAUAUUUCAUAGAUCUUACUUGUGAAAUGGGCAACUGAGAAAUUAAUUUGUAAACAGGAUUUAAAAUAUGGUCUUAUGAAUAAAAAAAACAAGCAG